UACGUAGGGGGCAAGCGUUGUCCGGAAUCAUUGGGCGUAAAGCGCGUGUAGGCGGCUUGGUAAGUCUGCUCUGAAAGCCCGGGGCUCAACCCCGGGAGGCGGGUGGAUACUGUCAAGCUCGAGUCCGGAAGAGGAGUGUGGAAUUCCUGGUGUAGCGGUGAAAUGCGCAGAUAUCAGGAGGAACACCAAUGGCGAAGGCAGCACUCUGGGACGUGACUGACGCUGAGACGCGAAAGC
rnacentral:rRNA from 1 species